rnacentral:rRNA from 1 species
GACGAACGCUGGCGGCGUGCUUAACACAUGCAAGUCGAACGGUAAGGCCCUUCGGGGUACACGAGUGGCGAACGGGUGAGUAACACGUGGGUGAUCUGCCCUGCACUUCGGGAUAAGCCUGGGAAACUGGGUCUAAUACCGGAUAGGACCACUGCCUGCAUGGGUGGUGGUGGAAAGCUUUUGCGGUGUGGGAUGGGCCCGCGGCCUAUCAGCUUGUUGGUGGGGUGAGGGCCUACGAAGGCGACGACGGGUAGCCGGCCUGAGAGGGGGACCGGCCACACUGGGACGGGGAUACGGCCCAGACUCCUACGGGAGGCAGCAGUGGGGAAGAUUGCACAAUGGGCGCAAGCCUGAUGCAGCGACGCCGCGUGAGGGAUGACGGCCUUCGGGUUGUAAACCUCUUUCAGCACCGACGAAGCGCAAGUGACGGUAGGUGCAGAAGAAGGACCGGCCAACUACGUGCCAGCCGCCGCCGUAA